ensembl:lncRNA
GGACUAAACCAGGUCUAAACCAGGUCUGAACCAGGUCUGAACCAGGACUAAACCAGGUCUGAACCAGGACUAAACCAGGUCUAAACCAGGUCUAAACCUGGACUAAAGCAGGACUAAACCUGGACUAAAGCAGGACUAAUGCAGGACUAAAAGAGGUCUAAACCUGGACUAAACCAGGACUAAACCAGGACUAAACCAGGACUAAAGGAGGACUAAACCAGGACUAAACCAGGACUAAAGCAGGACUAAACCAGGACUAAACCAGGACUGAACCAGGACUAAACCAGGACUAAAGCAGGACUAAACCAGGACUAAACCAGGACUAAAGCAGGACUAAACCAGGACUAAACCAGGACUAAACCAGGACUAAACCAGGACUAAACCAGGACUAAACCAGGACUAAACCAGGACUAAACCAGGACUAAACCAGGACUAAACCAGGACUAAAUCGGGA